rnacentral:rRNA from 1 species
UACGUAGGGUGCGAGCGUUGUCCGGAAUUAUUGGGCGUAAAGAGCUCGUAGGCGGCUCGUCGCGUCGACCGUGAAAACCCGCAGCUUAACUGUGGGCUUGCGGUUGAUACGGGCGGGCUAGAGGCAGGUAGGGGAGAAUGGAAUUCCCGGUGUAGCGGUGAAAUGCGCAGAUAUCAGGAGGAACACCGAUGGCGAAGGCAGGUCUCUGGGCAUUAACUGACGCUGAGGAGCGAAAGCAUGGGGAGGAAACAGG